rnacentral:piRNA from 1 species
AGAAGUCGGACAUCCCUGAGAAGC